GAUCCUGGCUCAGGAUGAACGCUAGCUACAGGCUUAACACAUGCAAGUCGAGGGGGCGAGCAUGAACUUAGCUUGCUAAGUUUGUAUGGCGACCGGCGCACGGGUGAGUAACACGUAUCCAACCUGCCGAUGACUCGGGGAGUAGCCUUUCGAAAGAAAGAUUAAUACCCGAUGGCAUAGUUCUUCCGCAUGGUAGAACUAUUAAAGAAUUUCGGUCAUCGAUGGGGAUGCGUUCCAUUAGG
rnacentral:rRNA from 1 species